AACGAACGCUGGCGGCAUGCCUAACACAUGCAAGUCGAACGAGACCUUCGGGUCUAGUGGCGCACGGGUGCGUAACGCGUGGGAACCUGCCCUUAGGUUCGGAAUAACUCCCCGAAAGGGGUGCUAAUACCGGAUAAUGUCUUCGGACCAAAGAUUUAUCGCCUUUGGAUGGGCCCGCGUUGGAUUAGCUAGUUGGUAGGGUAAAAGCCUACCAAGGCGACGAUCCAUAGCUGGUCUGAGAGGAUGAUCAGCCACACUGGGACUGAGACACGGCCCAGACUCCUACGGGAGGCAGCAGUGGGUAAUAUUGGACAAUGGGCGAAAGCCUGAUCCAGCAAUGCCGCGUGAGUGAUGAAGGCCUUAGGGUUGUAAAGCUCUUUUACCCGGGAUGAUAAUGACAGUACCGGGAGAAUAAGCACCGGCUAACUCCGUG
rnacentral:rRNA from 1 species